rnacentral:rRNA from 1 species
GAUGAACGCUGGCGGCGUGCCUAAUACAUGCAAGUCGAGCGAACAGACGAAGAUCGUGCUCCUCUGACGUUAGCGGCGGACGGGUGAGUAACACGUGGAUAACCUACCUAUAAGACUUGGAUAACUUCGGGAAACCGUAGCUAAUACCGGAUAAUAUAUUUAACCGCAUGGUUCAAUAGUUAAAUACGGUUUUGCUGUCACUUAUAGAUGUAUCCGUGCCGCAUUAGCUAGUUGGUAAGGUAACGUCUUACCAAGGCAACGAUGCGUAGCCGACCUGAGAGGGUGAUCGGCCACACUGGAACUGAGACACGGUCCAGACUACUAAGGGAGGCAGCAGUAGGGAAUCUUCCGCAACGGUCGAAAGCCUGACGGAGCAACGCCGAGUGAGUGAUGAAGGUCUUCGGAUCGUAAAACUCUGCUAUUAGGGAAGAACAAAUGUGUAAGUAACUAUGCACGUCUUGACGGUACCUAAUCAGAAAGCAACGGCUAACUACGUG